UUUUAAGAUGAACUUCAAGGUUCUGUUGCUGCUGGCAGGUCUUUAUCAUGUUUGUUGUCAAGAAACAUUUCUUGUCUCGAUUCAGGAAAAUGAUACGGGUACAUCUGAGUGGUUGGAGAUUAGACCAAGGUCUGGAGACUGGAAUGACAUGAGUCUUGAGCAAUUCUCUAUUUGUGCUUGGGUUUAUUUCACAUUUCAAGGAUACUCUUUCAGUGCUCUUUGGAGUUUUAGCACCAUGGAAAUUGGCAACUUGGUUCAGCUCUACGUAAAAACAGAUACAGAGAAUGAAAAUGACGGAACUACAGUUUUGUUUAAUGCAUGGGUUUCAAUAAAUGACACACACUAUAACCGGACUGUUUUAGGAAGGUAUAAAUUGGGUUUCCCCCAAAGCAAAUUUCCCCAAAUUUGCACAGAAUGGCUUAACAUGUUGUGGAACUAGGGUUCCCAAUCAGAAUUCUGUUUCGUGGAAUUGCACACAAUGAUUGGUUCCACUUAUGCCAUUUCAUUGUGUGGAAUUGCGAUAUAAUUGCAAACAAAGAAGUACAUAAAUACUCGUGGAAUUGUGUGCAACGAAAUUGCUUUUCCAUCUAAAAAUUGUAAAAAUUUUAAC